GCGGGUGUGGCGAAAUAGUAAACGCUGCGGUCUUAAAAACCGUUGUCCUCGACGUGGGGGUGCAAGUCCCUCCACCCGCA
rnacentral:tRNA from 1 species